rnacentral:lncRNA from 1 species
GUCCGGUUUUUCGCGUUAUUGUGUGGAGGGCAAGGUCUCACGAUUGGGUUUCAGAGGCGUGGGUAGUGGCUUGUAGCCACACGGCAGGAGUUGGGACUCACUGAGGGGAAGCCGCUCUCGGGGUGUGUCCCCUUGACGCCGUUAGGGGUGGGGACCGGACCUGGACCCGCCCGGCUGCGGCGUCCGGCAUGGGAGGACUCGCGCGGACUGGCAGCCGGGCGCGGUGUCCCGGCGGCUCACUCACAGUUUUUUGCUACGCUUGUCGCCUGGUUUGAUUUCCUGUCGAUUCCCCAGACCGUGCACCAGGACUAGAAGCAAUUGAAUAUUUUAAUGAGAUGAUUUCGUGCAUUUUGAUGUUUGGUUGGCUUUGCCCCCUGCAGCGGGCAAUGUCAGGUUUUAUAGACGAUGUCCCAUGCCCAGCCCUGGAGAAUUGCCCCUCGAGCACGCUGAAGGGAAAGGGAAUGGCAAGAUGAGCGUAAUCUCUAAGGGAAGUGUUUCACAACGAAAACCGAGCGAGAUUAGGUUGCUGACAGUUUGGGAGCUGUUUCUGGAGCUGCCCAAGUCUCUCCAACCCCGUACUCCAAGAAAAGCUGUUAAAAUUCAGUAAAAUGGGGGUGUUACGUUUUCCAGACGUAUUGGCAGCAUUACAAGAACUCAGUGGCCACCUACAGCUAAUGACUACUUGAUUGGACCGCGAAGAUGAUCUCACGGCAGAAAGUUUCGUUGCACCUUGCCGAUGUAGAUGGCAAAAUGGCCCUGCAUUGGUAAUCCGAGCAGCUUAAAGGUCAUAGCUAAUCACAUUAUUCAUCCAAACACAGAUAAUCCUAAUGCAUUAGUGAGAAUGAAUGUACUUGUUAGCAUAAGCCCUCCCAACAAGUAGUAGAUGAAUGCCUACACAUUGUAAGGCUGCUGUUUGGGAGAUGGAGGGAAGGAAAGCAGUGGCUAACCAUUAUUAAGUGGUUAGGAGCCUGUAGUUUUAGAUGCGUUUUCCUCAGGACAUCUCAACAAUUGUAGGACAUAGGUGCUGUUUCCUUUCGUUUAUAAAUGAGGGAAGUAAGGUUUAUGCCCUUCACACGGCUAAACCUGAACUCUUAACAGGGAGACUGGCUGCUCCGAACUAAAAUGAGCCUUGCUCUCAAACACCUUAAAAAUCAAACACAUGAAAUGAAUGGUCUGAUGACCAACAGGAGAGAAUGUAAGUGCCAGAAAAGUGAACAGAUCAAUAAAAGC